rnacentral:miRNA from 14 species
UGCUCUGGAUUAGGCUUUGGCUUAAGGGAGUGUUGUGGCUGGCUUGAUCUUCUUUCCAGACCACUGAAACUUUCUCCAUAUCAGC